AAGCAGAAAAAGCCCUUCUACUGCCCCUAGGGGGAUGAUGAUGAACUACAGGCGAGAAAACAGGGACCAGUAGGUUUUGAAGGACAGUGGGGGUCGUGAUACUGGGGGGCCUCAGGGUUAGAGGUCAGGCUGUCAGAGUUUCCUUCAGUUUUCUCCUUGUUGGGUUUUUAUCUGGAUUUGUCUCCCAAAGGGCCUCCUCUGCAUCACUCCUGCUCUCCUGUUGGAGGGUCAACUCCUACUCCUCCUCUUCCUCCUCCUCCUCCUCCAGCCUCAGAAAGUCGGUGUUCAUCAUGGAUCUGACAGCUGAAGACCUUUUGGAUCCGCUUCGUAACGUUCUUCCUUUCCUGUUUCUGUCUGACAGCUUCGUUUGUUUGUGGCGUUGACCAAUCAAACUCUGGAACACAGAAGAGGCUUUUAUUGUGGCAGAAAAUCUCAAAACUGAGUUCUGGUUCCUGCAGGAGGAGCGCUUUGGGAUUCAAACCACCGACAUUUAGGAACCUCAUUCCGUUUCUAGCUGUCAUUAAUGAGGGGAAAAGGAUUUUAUUUUGCUGAAAUCCGGACAAAAAAUGAGAUGUAGUUUUUGAAAGUUAGGUGGGUUUUUUUUACUUUCCUUUUUAUUAAAAAUGUGGUUCCUUCUGUAGUUUUUGUUCCUCAGGCGACGGUUCUGUGUUUGUUCGUCAUUCUUCUUCUUUUUUCCCUUCCAUGCAGCACUCUGAUCACAUUUCUUUCAGAUGAAAAGGCUUUACGGAGAUGAAGAUUGAAGCUUUAGUGAAGAGGGUUACAGACAGAGAUGGAGAUCAUGUGAUGAAGCUCCGUCUGUCUCUGCUGCUUUACAGAUCUAAAAAGGGUCAAAGUGAAGCGGAGCGUUCCUUCAGCUUCCAGGCUCUGCUCACUUCCUGGAUCUUCAGCUUCCCUUUGAAGGCGAAGCCAAACUCUGCUCUUCCUCUUCUGUCUCCAUAGGAGCUUUGCUGAUCCUCACAGCUCUGCAGACUCUUCUUCUGCUGCUCCAGGGUUCCACCCUCUCUGGGUUUUGUAGCUGCAGGAUGAACCUGAGGAGGCGUCCACUCCACCAUCCUCUUCCUCUGCUGGAGGCUGAAGAGCCGUUGAUGGCGGUUGUUCCUGCAGCAGCUGAGCUUCUUCCUGCUUCAGCCAUAAACUAAUGUGGAAGGAACCAGACCGCAGGGCCUGAAACUCCGCCUCCAUGACGACACCUGCCGGCUCUUCCUGUUAAGUAACUCCUGGCCUUCACUCAGACACGAUCCUGAUGAGAACAACUCCUGUUGCUGCUUUUACGGAUUUCUUUCAGGUGUCGGUUUUUAUAUCAAAUCAAAAGAUCCGUCGUUCUCGUUCCAUCUUUAGAAAAAAACAGCUGCAUUUUAGGCUAAAGUUCCUUUCUGGGAUUAAAUGACGAUGAUAUGGAAACGUUUCCUUCCAGCAGUAACCCAGUACAGAUCACCUGUUGAUGUUAUUUGGAAGAAUUAUCCAGAAAAUGAAGUCUGCUUUCUUCUGUUUGUGUCAGAGCAUCAGAAACACGGAGAACACCGGGAACCCGGAGAACACCGGGAACCCGGAGAACACCGGGAACCCGGAGAACACCGGGAACGCGGAGAACGCGGAGAACACCGGGAACAGGAGCUGCUUGGUUCACGUGUUAUCUUAGGGAAGGUGAAGAGAACCAGGAGGACUCCUGCUCGUCUGCAGGGAGGAGACAAAGGAUCUUUUUCUGCUCCGUCAUGUUUGGGUCGUUCUGAUCUCAGCAUGACUCGGCGCUUUAGCUCUGUCUGCUCCUCGGAUCAAAGCCAUCUUCUGGUCUCUAUCAGUAAACCUCUGAAGUCAAAUGAAAAUGAGAAACAGCUGAUCUGUGAUGCCACCGAAUCCUGUAGAACUGAACAGGAGGUUUGUCCUACGGGUUACCAUGGCAACACUGUGCUGACGCUGUGAGGCCGCUGUGAGGUUUUGACCAUUUAGUUUGACAUUCAGACAUGAACGUCUCUGCCCGUCACGCAAUCUUUGACACACCUGAAAUGCAUUUGACAGCGUUUCCAUGACAACCUGGCAAAUGCAGCAUCCCAGUCUACACAGAAUUGUACCCAAGAGUUUUUAAUCUACUUCUUAGUCAACACUUUGUUCAUGUUCAGAGUUUCCUGCCUGACUCCGUUAUCAGCUCCUGUUCCUGAUAAAAAUCCAGCCGUCCUUCAGUGAUGAAGACGAGCUGCUGCUCCA